GAUGAACGCUGGCGGCGUGCCUAACACAUGCAAGUCGAGCGAACAGACGAGGAGCUUGCUCCCCUGCCGUUAGCGAGUGACGGGUGAGUAACACGUGGAUAACCUACCUCUUUUUCUGGGGUGACUUCGGGAAACCGCUGAUACUAAUAGCUCAUAUAUCCUACCGCUUGAUUCAAUGGUUCAUGGGGGCUUUGCCGUUUCUAAUAGCCGGUUCCGGGCCGCAUUAGCUAGUUGGUAAGGUAACGGCCUACCAAGGCAACGAUGCGUAGCUGAGCUGAGAGGGUGAUCGGCCACACUGGAACUGAGACACGGUCCAGACUCCUACGGGAGGCAGCAGUAGGGAAUAUUGCACAAUGGGCGAAAGCUUGACGGAGCAACGCCGCGUGAGUGAUGAAGGUCUUCGGGUCGUAAAGCUCUGUUAUUGGGGAAGAACAAAUGUGGAAGUAACUAUGCACGUCUUGACGGUACCUAAACAGAAAGCCACGGCUAACUACGUG
rnacentral:rRNA from 1 species